AGAAAGGAGUAUGUUAGAAAAUGGAUAGGAUUGUAUGUAUAGAUUUUAAAAUCUUUUUGAAGUAACAAUGAAAAUGAUGUCGGUUAAACCUUUUAACCCCACAUGUAAUAUAUUUGUUGGAGCAAAAAUCCGCCUGCGUCGGAGAAGCUGCAGUCGAGGGAGUCGCGGUCGCCGCCGGGAUCUGCAAAGAAAGUCUAAACCAG
rnacentral:lncRNA from 1 species